AAAUGAAUAGACGGGGGCCCGCACAAGCGGAGGAACAUGUGGUUUAAUUCGAUGAUACGCGAGGAACCUUACCCGGGCUUAAAUUGCAGAGGACAGCUCAAGAGAUUGAGUCUUCUUCGGACCUCUGUGAAGGUGCUGCAUGGUUGUCGUCAGCUCGUGCCGUGAGGUGUCGGCUUAAGUGCCAUAACGAGCGCAACCCUUGCCAUUAGUUACUAACAGGUUAUGCUGAGGACUCUAGUGGGACUGCCAUCGUAAGAUGUGAGGAAGGUGGGGAUGACGUCAAAUCAGCACGGCCCUUACGUCCGGGGCUACACACGUGUUACAAUGGGAGGUACAGAAGGCCGCUACCCGGCGACGGGGCGCCAAUCCCCAAAACCUCUCUCAGUUCGGAUUGGAGUCUGCAACCCGACUCCAUGAAGCUGGAUUCGCUAGUAAUCGCGCAUCAGCCACGGCGCGGUGAAUACGUUCCCGGGCCUUGUACACACCGCCCGU
rnacentral:rRNA from 1 species